UGAAAUCACUUCCUUAAAAGAUCAUAAUCUUCAGAGGUAAGAAACCAUGAUCAGUCAUCAAUAGUUUUAUAUUGAGCCAGAUAAUUGUCGCAUCAAAGCAAAUUUUAUGUUUCUCAAUGAACAAAUCCUAUAAAGAAAAAAAAAAAAAAAUCACUGUUCACGAUUGAUCACGUUUUUUUACCUCUAAUAUUCAAUCCUUCGAAGUAAAUUGCUGCUUAUAGUACUCUAGUUGCUUUCCUGCUUUUGGUAUGAUCAAUUUUAUGUCUGCAAAAGAGAAGGGGAAAUGUCUGAGAAGACAAUGAAAAUUAACAGAGAAACUCACGGGCGACCCAUCAUGCCCGGAAUAAAGUUGUGAAAAUCUAAGAAAUCUGGGCCAUUAACUUUUUAAAAUCUGACUUUGGAAAUGUUUUCGGACUAAUAAACCUAAUGUUUUCAGACUAAAGAUACAAAUUUUAUACAAUUGAUGAAUGUAAAUUGAGAAUAUGAAAUCAUGAAGGAGAUUUAACUUACGUGUAGAAAAUUCUGCCAAUGCUGGCGGCCUUUACUAAUAGUAGAAGACUAACAUUGUUUGAGAUGCAGGUACAUACGAAGGAUAAAGGAACUAUCAUCCAGCCAUCAUUGAAAAAAAAGAAAAAGAAGAAAAGACGUAAAGUACUGCUACCAGAUGAUGGCAAAGAUCAGUAACUGGAAUCAUCUUAAGAUUGGCACACUGCUACUAGACGAUGGGAAAGAUCCAAUACAGAGAUGUCGCCUCAACCAGAGAGAGAAAUAGACAGAAGCUUACAAUAACAUGUGGGGGCACUAUGCAUAUAGGGGAGAUCAAAGACGUAAUGAAUGCCUCAUUACAAUUCAUUCAGGGAGGUUGUCUGUCUCAAACCCCAUAAUAUUUGGUUAAAUAGUCAAUUGAGAUUGGUUGGGAAAAACCAAACCAGAACCAAAAUGGUUCGAAAAAUUCAGUCAUGUCAGCUGAACAUAUCACCUGCAUCCGUAAAAAAAAGGAUUGUUUACCCAUCUUUGCUUAUUGAAGGGCCUAGAUACAUGUUACAACGCUAUCAUGAUGCAAUAGUCAUGAUGCAAUAUUCACUAUAUUAAUUUCACCAGAUGUGGCCAUAAAUAAUUCCGCCUUUGAGUUUGAAGGGAGGACAAAAAUGGAAAGACCGGCAUGAUACUGUCUCGAAGGUUUCUAAGAUUAAAUUAAUUCAUCUAAGGAAGGACAUUGGGCUAAAUUCGGGGAGGAAGGUGUAAACUAAUUAUCCAACAUAUAAUUAACAUAGAGAAUGCUAUGUGGACGAUGUCUUACUUGAAUAUUUGUUUCAGAUUUUACACCAUUGAGAAUUUCAGAAGCGAGGGCUUCCUCAUGCGCAAAUUUUGUUGUUCAUAUACAUCACAAAGAUGAAUCUAAGUCAACCGAUUACAAAAUCGUACUGGCAAGAAUAGAAAAUAAAGCUGCGGCCCAAAGGAUAUGAUCAUAUGAGGCUGCAGUUCAAAUUGAUAAAGUAGGGCACUGAUGCCUUUCGAAUUUUCCGGUGCGUAUGCACCGGGUAAGGGGCUUGUUAUUUAAAAUAACUGGGCUUUAUACAUACAUUUAUGUGCGUUAAGUGUUUUUAUACUUGUACGUUUUCCAUAGCUGUUGUAACAGUCACACCCGUGUGCCGUGAUUGUACAUAGCUUAAUCUGAAUUUUCUAUUCUACCACUCAAAUUGAAAAAAUAAUGCGUUUUUGCGUUUUAGCUGCAACUAUCA